rnacentral:rRNA from 1 species
UACGGAGGGUGCAAGCGUUAUCCGGAUUCACUGGGUUUAAAGGGUGCGUAGGCGGACAGGUAAGUCAGUGGUGAAAUCUUCGAGCUUAACUCGGAAACUGCCGUUGAUACUAUUUGUCUUGAAUAACGUUGAGGUGAGCGGAAUAUGUCAUGUAGCGGUGAAAUGCUUAGAUAUGACAUAGAACACCGAUUGCGAAGGCAGCUCACUAAACGCUCAUUGACGCUGAGGCACGAAAGCGUGGGGAUCAAAC